UCUCCGUAGGUGAACCAGCGGAGGGAUCAUUACAGAGUUCUAACACUCCCAGGUAGUGCGAACCCCCCCUAUGAUUGAUACUGUGGUGGUUUGGCGGGCCGCCAGGCCCUGCCCGUCCCCCUCCCCCGGCUGGCACCCCCCCGCAAGCCCCUACGCCCCCUCUGAAUGUCCUCUUUGUGUGAGUUAUACAAUAUAGUAAAACCUUCAAAAAACGGAUCCCUUGGUUCUGGCAUGGUUGAAGAACGAACCAGAUGGAAAAAGAAACAGUCGGAACGCAAG
rnacentral:misc_RNA from 1 species